rnacentral:rRNA from 1 species
AAAUUGAAGAGUUUGAUCAUGGCUCAGAUUGAACGCUGGCGGCAGGCCUAACACAUGCAAGUCGAGCGGUAACACAGAGAGCUUGCUCUCGGGUGACGAGCGGCGGACGGGUGAGUAAUGUCUGGGAAACUGCCUGAUGGAGGGGGAUAACUACUGGAAACGGUAGCUAAUACCGCAUAACGUCGCAAGACCAAAGUGGGGGACCUUCGGGCCUCAUGCCAUCAGAUGUGCCCAGAUGGGAUUAGCUAGUAGGUGGGGUAAUGGCUCACCUAGGCGACGAUCCCUAGCUGGUCUGAGAGGAUGACCAGCCACACUGGAACUGAGACACGGUCCAGACUCCUACGGGAGGCAGCAGUGGGGAAUAUUGCACAAUGGGCGCAAGCCUGAUGCAGCCAUGCCGCGUGUAUGAAGAAGGCCUUCGGGUUGUAAAGUACUUUCAGCGAGGAGGAAGGCGUUAAGGUUAAUAACCUUGGUGAUUGACGUUACUCGCAGAAGAAGCACCGGCUAACUCCGUGCCAGCAGCCGCGGUAAUACGGAGGGUGCAAGCGUUAAUCGGAAUUACUGGGCGUAAAGCGCACGCAGGCGGUCUGUCAAGUCGGAUGUGAAAUCCCCGGGCUCAACCUGGGAACUGCAUUCGAAACUGGCAGGCUAGAGUCUUGUAGAGGGGGGUAGAAUUCCAGGUGUAGCGGUGAAAUGCGUAGAGAUCUGGAGGAAUACCGGUGGCGAAGGCGGCCCCCUGGACAAAGACUGACGCUCAGGUGCGAAAGCGUGGGGAGCAAACAGGAUUAGAUACCCUGGUAGUCCACGCCGUAAACGAUGUCGACUUGGAGGUUGUGCCCUUGAGGCGUGGCUUCCGGAGCUAACGCGUUAAGUCGACCGCCUGGGGAGUACGGCCGCAAGGUUAAAACUCAAAUGAAUUGACGGGGGCCCGCACAAGCGGUGGAGCAUGUGGUUUAAUUCGAUGCAACGCGAAGAACCUUACCUACUCUUGACAUCCAGAGAACUUAGCAGAGAUGCUUUGGUGCCUUCGGGAACUCUGAGACAGGUGCUGCAUGGCUGUCGUCAGCUCGUGUUGUGAAAUGUUGGGUUAAGUCCCGCAACGAGCGCAACCCUUAUCCUUUGUUGCCAGCGGUCCGGCCGGGAACUCAAAGGAGACUGCCAGUGAUAAACUGGAGGAAGGUGGGGAUGACGUCAAGUCAUCAUGGCCCUUACGAGUAGGGCUACACACGUGCUACAAUGGCAUAUACAAAGAGAAGCGACCUCGCGAGAGCAAGCGGACCUCAUAAAGUAUGUCGUAGUCCGGAUUGGAGUCUGCAACUCGACUCCAUGAAGUCGGAAUCGCUAGUAAUCGUAGAUCAGAAUGCUACGGUGAAUACGUUCCCGGGCCUUGUACACACCGCCCGUCACACCAUGGGAGUGGGUUGCAAAAGAAGUAGGUAGCUUAACCUUCGGGAGGGCGCUUACCACUUUGUGAUUCAUGACUGGGGUGAAGUCGUAACAAGGUAACCGUAGGGGAACCUGCGGUUGGAUCACCUCCUUA